rnacentral:rRNA from 1 species
UGGGAAUUUUCCGCAAUGGGCGAAAGCCUGACGGAGCAAUACCGCGUGAGGGAUGAAGGAUUUUGGUCUGUAAACCUCUUUUCUCAAGAAAGAAGUUCUGACGGUACUUGAGGAAUAAGCAUCGGCUAACUCCGUGCCAGCAGCCGCGGUAAUACGGGGGAUGCAAGCGUUAUCCGGAAUCAUUGGGCGUAAAGCGCCUGUAGGUUGUUUAAUAAGUCUGUUGUUAAAGACUAGGGCUCAACCCUAGAAAAGCAAUGGAAACUACUAGACUAGAGUAUGGCAGGGGUAGAGGGAAUUUCUAGUGUAGCGGUGAAAUGCGUAGAUAUUAGAAAGAACACCGGUGGCGAAAGCGCUCUACUGGACCAUUACUGACACUCAGAGGCGAAAGCUAGGGUAGCAAAAGGGAUUAGAUACCCCUGGAGUCA